UAGCAUUAUACCAGCAUCUAACCAGAUGUGCAAAAAGAAAAGGGCAAGAAAUGUACAAGUAUUAAGUAUAGUGUAUGUUACGAGUGGAAUGUAUAGAUAUAUAAUAUACAGUGCAAAAUGGCAAUUCGAAAUGGGCAAUGAAGACAAAUAGGGGAAGGCAGGAAAUUUACAAAGGUACAUUGUUAAGUAUACAGUAUGUAUGUGCAAGUGGGAAAUAAUAGUUGCGCAAUGAGGCAAAUGCAAUGGCAAUUCUGACUAUGCAUUUGAGCAAGUUGGAGGUGUAAGGUAGUCUGUUGGAGGUGUAAGGUAGUCUGUUAGAGGUGUAAGGUAGUCUGUUGGAGGUGUAAGGUAGUCUGUUGGAGGUGUAAGGUAGUCUGAUGGAGGUGUAAGGUAGUCUGAUGGAGGUGUAAGAUAUUCUGAUGGAGGUGUAAGGUAGUCUGUUGGAGGUGUAAGAUAUUCUGAUGGAGGUGUAAGGUAGUCUGUUGGAGGUGUAAGGUACAACUGAAUAGCAGCAACGAGGUGCCUAGGUAGACAUGCAUGUAACAUUUGGGAGGAAAAAAGAAAAGCAAGUACAAUGGCAAUUCUAAAUGUGCAGUGUUCAAAGUUCAAAGGUUUAUUUGUCAUUUGCCACAAACUAUCAUAACUAGUUAUGACUAGUUUAUUUGUCAUUUGCCACAACUAGUUUAUUUGUCAUUUGCCACAAACUAUCAUAACUAGUUAUGGCUAGUCUAAAUGUUUGGUUUUCCUACUCCCAACCGUGCAGUUAAAAGUUAAAAAGUAACAGUAAUUAUAAUAUAAAAAUAAAGAAGAUAACACAAACUAUCAAUAAUAACACUAUACAAAAACACACAUCAAUAAUAAUAACUAUACAACUAUACAACCGUAGUGCAAUGUAAAAGUGACAGGUGUACAUCAUAUUAUUGGCAGAUGAUAUAAAGUGACAGGUGUGCAUGGGACUAUGGAUGGAAGGGAAGAGGGGUUCCCGAAUUGCGCAGCCUUACAGCCUGAGGAAAGAAACUGUCUCAUAGCCUAUUCGUUUUGGACAGGAUACUCCUGUACCUUCUGCCUGACGGCAGCUUGGUAAACAGUCCAUGGCAUGGAUGGCUGGGAUCUGUAAUGAUCCGUUUGCUCCUCCUCCUCACCUCUCUGUGUGGAGAUCUUGCAGGGAUGUCAGGUCAGACCUUGUGAUGCUCUCUGCUGUUUUAAUCACCCUCUGAAGUGUUUUACGGUUGAGGGCGAUGCAGCUGCCAUAUCAGCCGGUGACACAGCCAGUCAGGAUCCUCUCAAUAGUGAGUCUGUAGAAGCUGGUGAGUAUCCUGGAAUCCAUGCCAAAUCUUCUUAAUCGGUAUUGGAAGAACAGCCGUUUCCUGGCCUCCUUUAUCACUAUGUUAGAGUGAUGAAACCAGGUCAAGUCAUCGCUGAUGUUGACACCAAGGAACGGAUGUUG
ensembl:lncRNA